GCAGGUGGGGAAGGCAGCAGGUGGAGCGACUGGGGGAAAAGAAGCCCUUUGGGCAAAGCCAAAAUGGUGGUGAAAGGGACCAGGGGUCCCCUCAACUGCCAAGGGGACUGUUCCAGUCACCAUAAACCCACCUGGGGGGGGGAGGAGUACAGACCCCACAGCAACUGUCAUACCCUCCUCACAGAACCCACAGAGACCCGGGGACCCAGUAGAAGGAAACACACUUUUCCCAGGACUGGACUAGCAGCAUCUCUGGCUUAGGGCUCCCUCUCUGCUGGAAGCCCAGAGCCAGAACCAUCCCGGGAAGCCGCAGAGGACAGCAAAGAAUGAAACACCUGGUGAUGGAAUUCCAGGCACCAAGUCUGACCACAGAGGGUUGGGAAGGCUUCCUUUACGAAUAUAAGCAAGCCAUCUGCUUCCUGGUCAGGAGAGGACCUGUCCUGCUUGAAUACAGUGCAUUAUAAAACAACAAGGCCAAAAGCCCUUAACUGGAACCAGUGGGGCUGGACUGGAGAAUAUUUUGGAAAAGAUAUGUGAUGCGUACACCGCAUGUUACAUAAUGCCCUGCAGUGGCAGUGCCUCACAGUCAAACCCACCAGUUUUGAUUUCUGCGCAAAAUACAUAUUCACACCAAUGGAUAAAUAAAUUGCAUAGGUUCAAGUCCAAUUUUUGCUGUCAAAUGAGUUUGAUGCCAAAUUUAUGAAAGAACUUUCUGUUUUCAUUGAGGUUUGAAUUUAGAGAGUCUGGAAAAGGCA